rnacentral:rRNA from 1 species
UACAGAGGUCUCAAGCGUUGUUCGGAUUCAUUGGGCGUAAAGGGUGUGUAGGUGGCGCGCUAAGUCGGGUGUGAAAUUUCGGAGCUUAACUCCGAAACUGCAUUCGAUACUGGCGUGCUUGAGGACUGGAGAGGAGACUGGAAUUUACGGUGUAGCAGUGAAAUGCGUAGAUAUCGUAAGGAAGACCAGUGGCGGAGGCGGGUCUCUGGACAGUUCCUGACACUGAGACACGAAGGCCAGGGGAGCAAACGGG